rnacentral:rRNA from 1 species
UACGCGAGCUGGGUUUAGACCGUCGUGAGACAGUUCGGUCCCUAUCUGCCGUGGGCGUUGGAGAUUUGAGAAGAGCUGCUCCUAGUACGAGAGGACCGGAGUGGACGCACCUCUGGUGUUCCGGUUGUCACGCCAGUGGCACUGCCGGGUAGCUAUGUGCGGACAGGAUAACCGCUGAAAGCAUCUAAGCGGGAAGCCCCCUUCAAGAUGAGAUCUCCCCGAGGCCUCGAGCCUCCUGAAGGGCCCAGCGAGACCAGCUGGUUGAUAGGCCGGAUGUGGAAGCGCUGCAAGGCGUUGAGCUAACCGGUACUAAUGGCCCGUGAGGCUUGACCAU